rnacentral:rRNA from 1 species
GAUGAACGCUGGCGGCGUGCCUAAUACAUGCAAGUCGAGCGAACGGACGAGAAGCUUGCUUCUCUGAUGUUAGCGGCGGACGGGUGAGUAACACGUGGAUAACCUACCUAUAAGACUGGGAUAACUUCGGGAAACCGGAGCUAAUACCGGAUAAUAUUUUGAACCGCAUGGUUCAAAAGUGAAAGACGGUCUUGCUGUCACUUAUAGAUGGAUCCGCGCUGCAUUAGCUAGUUGGUAAGGUAACGGCUUACCAAGGCAACGAUGCAUAGCCGACCUGAGAGGGUGAUCGGCCACACUGGAGCUGAGCCACGGUCCAGACUCCUACGGGAGGCAGCAGUAGGGAAUCUUCCGCAAUGGGCGAAAGCCUGACGGAGCAACGCCGCGUGAGUGAUGAAGGUCUUCGGAUCGUAAAACUCUGUUAUUAGGGAAGAACAUAUGUGUAAGUAACUGUGCACAUCUUGACGGUACCUAAUCAGAAAGCCACGGCUAACUACGUG